rnacentral:ncRNA from 2 species
AAUAGUCUUCAGGGCGGGGUGUAAGUCCCCACCGGCGGUAUAGCCCGCGAGCCGUUAAGGUUGAUUCGGUUAAAUUCCGAAGCCGACAGUUAAAGUCUGGAUGGAAGAAGGUAAAG